UGUUAAUGGAAUAUGGGAGGCUGAAUGCCGAUUUCCCAUUGGCUGGUGAAGGUCUUUAACUGCUAGGGAAGACCAGCACAGUAAACAGGAAGUCAUCUCCAUGGCAACUGGCCAUUCAACUUAACUUUUUAACACACGAAGAGGUUGGAAGAUGAAACCAAGGGAAGACAGGACUGAAGGCCACGCAGGGCAGGACUCAGAACCUGAGGAUGCAGGAGGCUCGGAGACCAGGGAACGUUCUGUUGGAGGCAAUCAACAAUCCUUGGGAACUCACCACAGGAGCCAGAGUCCAAGGCAGCUUCCCUGGCCUUUGCCCACCCGGGAAAAUUUGUCUUCCCUACUAGGAGUAAUCAAUCAGGCAAGAUUCACUGGCAGAAAAAAAAGAAGAAGAAGAAGAGGAAGAAGCCACAACAAAUCUCUUUGCCUGUGACAAAAAAUUACUUGGAUGCCCAUUUUAUUUGGAGGAAGCAACAGGUACUGUCGGUAACAAAGUGGAUGUGUAUUUAAAGCAGGUGACAAAAAGGCUCACGUUGAAAAUCUCUCGUACUCCUAAUAUCCAGUGCAGAUCCAGACAAAAAAGUAAAAGAAAAGCCAAUGAGUGUCUCCCUCAAAAGAAAAGAAUCCAGUCUGAAGGGCGAGAGCUAAGAUGAGUCAUGCCAGUCUGUGUCUUCAUACGGCAGCUCCUUUUGUGUCACCACCAGCCCCAUACCCCUAAGUGGACCGGAAAGAGUCAGCAACAUCCACUGAGCCCGGGGUGUACCGAGAAUCUCGAGGCCCAGGGUCACGACCACUGCCUGCCUGGACAUUUACAUCACUGUCUACACAGGCAAAGAGAAGUGGCCAGAAACCACCUGCUUCAUGGUGGCUCCAUCCAAACCUGUUAUCAAGGAAUGAAUCUUCU
rnacentral:lncRNA from 1 species